UAUCUCUGUAGAGUCUGCAUAUCAAUAAGCGGAGGAAAAGAAACUAACUAGGAUUCCCUCAGUAACGGCGAGUGAAGCGGGAAGAGCUCAAAUUUGAAAUCUUCAAGGUUCUACCUUGACGAAUUGUAGUUUAAAGAAGUGUUUUCUGUUGGAGUUUUGGUAAAAGUUCUUUGGAAUAGGACAUCAUAGAGGGUGAGAAUCCCGUAUUUGACCAUUACUUUCAGCUUUGUGAUACACUUUCAAAGAGUCGGAUUGUUUGGGAAUGCAGUCCAAAAUGGGUGGUAAAUUUCAUCUAAAGCUAAAUAUUGGCGAGAGACCGAUAGCGAACAAGUACCGUGAGGGAAAGAUGAAAAGAACUUUGAAAAGAGAGUUAAACAGUACGUGAAAUUGUCAAAAGGGAAGCGUUUGACACCAGUGUUGUUUUUCUGAAAAUCAAUUAAAGAACUGUUUAUGCUAAGUUGUUUAGACUUUAUCAGCUUACUGUUACUCUUUCUGAGCUUUUCUUUAAUGCACUUUUCAGUUAACAAGUCAACAUCAAUUUCUUUUGCUGUAAAAGAGUCAUUGAGGAAGGUGGCUUGAGACUUCGGUUAAAGUGUUUAUAGCCUUUGGCUUCUGCAAUCGGAGAGAUUGAGGUCUGCAGCGUAGAUCCUUCGGGGCUAGAUACGUAGAUGCUAAGUUAUAGUUUUUUAUAGACAACUUGUUGACUAUGAAUUUAGUCAUUGUAGCUUACUCGCUUAUGCGCUAUUUUACCUACGCUUAGGAUGUUGACGAUCAGCUGAGCGCG
rnacentral:rRNA from 1 species